AGUGAACGCUGGCGGCAGGCCUAACACAUGCAAGUCGAACGAACUCUUCGGAGUUAGUGGCGGACGGGUGAGUAACACGUGGGAACGUGCCUUUAGGUUCGGAAUAACUCAGGGAAACUUGUGCUAAUACCGAAUGUGCCCUUUGGGGGAAAGAUUUAUCGCCUUUAGAGCGGCCCGCGUCUGAUUAGCUAGUUGGUGAGGUAAAGGCUCACCAAGGCGACGAUCAGUAGCUGGUCUGAGAGGAUGAUCAGCCACAUUGGGACUGAGACACGGCCCAAACUCCUACGGGAGGCAGCAGUGGGGAAUCUUGCGCAAUGGGCGAAAGCCUGACGCAGCCAUGCCGCGUGAAUGAUGAAGGUCUUAGGAUUGUAAAAUUCUUUCACCGGGGACGAUAAUGACGGUACCCGGAGAAGAAGCCCCGGCUAACUUCGUG
rnacentral:rRNA from 1 species